rnacentral:misc_RNA from 1 species
UGUGGGAGCGAGCUUGCUCGCGAUAGCGCCAGGUCAGUCGACAUCAAUAUUGACUGAUACACCGCCAUCGCGAGCAAGCUCGCUCCCACA